UUUUUUUAGACAAUCGGCUGUCAGGGUUAAAAGGUCGUCGUCUAGAGGACAGCAAUUUGGAAAAAAUCAGCUGGAAAAACUAUUAGGAAGUGGAAGACAUCAAUUUUAAAGUAUUUUCUCAGAAAACCUCAGGAGGAAGAUUGAGGUCAUCUGGGCGUAACAGCAAAGGUCGUUUUGUGUUUACAGCAUUCUAUAUUUCAUGCUUUAUAACUACUGAUUUCCUUUGCAUGGCAAUCUUGCCUUCCUUGUAGGAAAUGACCUCCAAGACGCUUUUUUUUCUUUCCAUUACCGACUCUAUGUCCAUUUUCACAAACAAGCACGCGGAGGAACUAUCAGCACAUUGUUUGAAAACAAAACAAAAAAAGCCUGGGCUCAUGAUUGUUUGCAGUUCGUAAUUAUGGCUCAGAGGUUUGUACAAGCGAUACAGUCUCUUCAGUCUCUGCAGAUUGGUUGGCAGGUCCAAUAGCCCUGGCUAUCAAGGGACAACGAGCCUUGCAGUCUGUGUGUGCGAAACUCACGCCAAACAACAAACACGCAAGAACCAGCAAGCAGGGGACACAGGAAGCAGCAAGACAUCUAAAAGUGUCCUCAGCCUGCCACCUGCCCUUCCUGAAUGUGACUCCCAGGCCCCAGAGGGAAGACACACAAACUGCUGUUAUUUGUUUAAUAAUAUACUACAAUAAUGUGCAUGAGACAUGUACUGUACGUGUAUAUGGAAAAUCCUUUGAAAAAAUAAAUUUGAAUAAAAGACCUUACACUGUACACACAUCACUGUAUAAAAACUACAGUAAAGCUGA